ACAGGCUUCCUGGAAAGGUCCCUUCACUCCUGAAAAGACAACCCUUCUCCUGAGCAGGUGAUCUGAUUCAUCCCAAUAUGUGUUCUGCGAUGACUUAGAAUCAUUGCACAACCAGGACGAGAAGCCAACGUACCGAUCUCAGCUGAACAGGAAGUUGGGUGUGGACCAGAUUACUGCACUCCUAAAUGAGCCUGUUCUCCAGUGCUCUUGUUCUGGGACUCACCAUUCACAGCGCAAGUGUUGUUCCUACAGUGCUGCAGUUGUGUUAAAGAGAGAGAGAGAAUGAGAUUUUAAAUACCAUGAUUCGGGAACUGGUGAGAUGCAUUUUAAGUAGAAAAAUCUGAAAUAGUGUAAUUUUUGGAAAACAAAAAUAUACAUCUAUUGUUUAUACUGACAAAA
rnacentral:lncRNA from 1 species